CAAGCUCAUUGCAGCCCUGUUGACAUUUGGAGCUGAAUCAUUCUUUGUGGGCGGGGGCUGUUCUGUGCACUGUAGGAUGUUUAGCAGUGCCCUUGACCUCUACCCACCAGAUGCCAGUAGCAUUCCUACCCACAAGUGUAAAAACCAAAAAUGUCCUCAGACAUUGCCAGAUGUCCCCUGGGGAACCAAAUCGCCUCCAGUUGAGAACCACUGAUUUAGGGCAAGGCUCUCUGGCAUCCCAACCACCUUCCCCCGUUCCCACCCACCUGCUCCCCUACUCCAGGGAAGCAGUGCUCAUCUAGGUUGUCAUGACAUGCAAAUGUGUCACCAUCACACAGAGGAACAAGUGACGGGCUGAUGAAUAACACCCUGAAGUUUGGGAGUGAUUCACUUUUUAAAAACAAAUCAGAACAGGUACUAACCCAGCAACAUCCCUUUCACUCCCUUGCAGUCCAAGAUGAUUUUCCGAGUGGCCAGAGUUGCCCGUCACUCCUAGCCUGUCUCAUGGAGGUCACAGCCAGGACGAGGUUAGCCGCUUUUGCUCAUCAGCUGAUGGCUGCGUCCCUAAGGAAAGUUGACCUUCGCCAGUGCCUGCCUCUUGGGUGCAAUAGAAAGUAUGACAGUAAGAUAAAACCAGUCAGGGGAAUCAAACCCGAAAGCCAGAAGAGGUCAUUGGGAGGACCCUUGAAUGAAUGA
rnacentral:lncRNA from 1 species